AACGCACAUUGCGCCCUCUGGCAUUCCGGAGGGCACGCCUGUUCGAGCGCCAUCGCACCCUCCAAGCUCUGCUUGAUGUUGGACGCUGCGAAGUGCCGCACGUCUGGAACGCGUGGGCGUCCGGCCUGUCGAGACACCGCGAGCGUAGCAAGGCUGCAAAAGUCAAUUUCGCUCGGUCGGGACUCCAGCGGACCGCCUCUCUCUGGGACCCGCCGCCUAAAAACGGAGGGGACCCAACCCACUAGAGUUUGGCCUCGGAUCAGGCGGGGAUACCCGCUGAACUUAA
rnacentral:misc_RNA from 1 species